UAUAUGAAAUUUAUGAGAGUUUGAUCAGGUUGGCAAACUUGAAAAUAAACAUCAGAUUCAUGUGGGUACCAGCACAUAGGGGGGUGGAGGGAAAUGAAAUGGCUGACUUCCUGGCAAAAAGGGCAUUGAAACGGGGAAUAGAGAUGGAAAUUCCAUUAGAUAGGACAGAAUUUAGGGCAAUUGUUAGGAGGCGUAUUAUGGAAGAAUGGCAGACACAAUGGGAAAGGGAGAGGAAAGGAAGACAUCUAUUUAGUAUUCAGGACAGAGUAGGGAGAGGUAUGAAUGUCAGAGUAAACACCAGAGAUAGCUGCAUAAUAUCACGGUUGAGGAUGGGACACACUGGUUUAAAUAAUACAUUGCAUUUGAUAGGGAAACAUCCAACUGGUUUGUGUGAGUGCGGGAGAGGGGAAGAGUCGGUGGAGCAUGUGCUAUGUCAGUGUGAACUGUAUAGGGAGGAAAGACGACAACUGGAAAGUAGGGUACGGAUGAUAGAGGGUGAGCAAAUGACUUUAAAGAAGCUUUUGGGAGGGGAGGAGAAUUUCAAUGGUGCGAUUAUAGGUUUUUUGAAAAGAACUAGGUUAUUGAGGAGAAUUUAGUUUAUUAUUAUUAUUAUUAUUUUUUUUUUUUUAAGUUACAUUUGGUUAGGUAAUCCCCACUCUGACCCACACUCCAACACAGUAGGUGGCGGUAAUGCACCUUCACGUUAGUGCCUCCCGCCAAUAAAAUCACAAGAAGAAGAAGAAGAAAAGUUGACCAUAGGAGACAUGGACACCCUCUAGUAAGCGAGGCCGACCACGUCCUCACAGCGAUAAGACCUCAGAGGAUCCGGGAGUUGGCGGCAGUGACCCGACCGAGCCGAUAAGUUCAGGAAAAGUUCAUCUGAAGCGAUUGAAACAUAAUCACAGAGGCUGGACGACGUGGAGAAAACCAAGAAGAAGAUACAAGAACACCGGAUACGACCCCCCCUCGAAGUUUCCAUUCUUGUCCAUCACAAACACCAGAACCUCGGAGAGCAGCUCCAGUGGAAGGUCCGGGCAGAUGACAACUUCAGAACACCGCACAAUGAGGAGAUGACGGCAGCAGUGAAAGAUGUGGAACCAAAUUGGAGUUUCCACCAAGUUAGAAGAGCUUGUACUCGAGAUAUUGACAGUCUCAAGUGCAAAGAGAGAGAAUGGAGAUAGAAGCAAGGAGGAGGUCAAAAGGAGGACCAGUCAGCAUGAUCAGCUCUUCAAAAAGAGGGUCAAAAUUGCUUAGAAGAUUCUCAAUCAAGAGGAUCUGUCAUAUAUAAAAGGAGCCAAUGCAAACUAUGUCAGCGACGUAGAAAGUGACGAGGACAAACCAUCUUAUUAUCAAGCCUCGCCAAAGUGGCGCUCCACCAGGCUAACCAGGGUGAUGCUGAAAUGCCAUAAAGCCUGGGAUGAAAACUGGAGGAGUGGAAUUGAGCCAAAAUUACACUCAGCUGGCUUUACUGAAGGAAACCCACCACCAGUCAAGAGCUGCUAUCUGGCAGAAGAGAAAAAAAGGAUGCAUGUUUGUUUGUGGUUUUAUUUAUUUAUUUUGUAAUAAAAUAUUUUUGAGUAAUA